CAGCAGCCGCGGGAAUACAGAGGGUGCGAGCGUUAAUCGGAUUUACUGGGCGUAAAGCGUGCGUAGGCGGCUUUUUAAGUCGGAUGUGAAAUCCCUGAGCUUAACUUAGGAAUUGCAUUCGAUACUGGGAAGCUAGAGUAUGGGAGAGGAUGGUAGAAUUCCAGGUGUAGCGGUGAAAUGCGUAGAGACCUGGAGGAAUACCGAUGGCGAAGGCAGCCAUCUGGCCUAAUACUGACGCUGAGGUACGAAAGCAUGGGGAGCAAACAGGAUUAGAUACCCCUGUAGUCCCUGUCUCUUAUAA
rnacentral:rRNA from 1 species